rnacentral:rRNA from 1 species
CCUACGGGGGGCAGCAGUGAGGAAUAUUUGUCAAUGGACGCAAGUCUGCACCCGCCAUGCCGCGUGCAGGAAGACGGCUCUAUGAGUUGUAAACUGCUUUUGUACGGGGGUAAACGCAGAUACUUGUAUCUGUCUGAAAGUAUCGUACGAAUAAGGAUCGGCGAACUCCGUUCCAGCAGCCGCGGUAAUACGGAGGAUUCAAGCGUUGUCCGGAUUUAUUGGGUUUAAAGUGAGCGUAGGCGGUCGGAUAGGUUAGAGGUGAAAUCCCGAGGCUCAACUUCGGAAUUGCAUCUGAUACUGUUAGGCUAGAGAGUAGUUGUGGUAGGGGGAAUGUAAGGUGUAGCGGUGAAAUGCUUAGAGAUCAGACAGAACACCGAUUGCGAAGGCAGCUUACCAAGCUACUUCUGACGUUGAGGCACGAAAGCGUGGGGAGCAAACAGGAUUAGAUACCCGUGUAGUC